AAUUACUGGGGAGUCAUCUUAAAUUCAGGGUGGUCUUAUAUUCAGGUAAUAUGGUAAAUUGUCUCUUCUAGCUUCUCUAACCUAGUCUCACCAAAUCAUUCUUUCAUUCUUCCACUCACUACAGCCUCCAUGGAUGAUGUCUUACACAUUUUAGAUGCUGUAAAAUAAUAAGUUCAAGUCUAAAAUGGGAAUAAGAAUGGCAUUUUCUUAGCAGAUCUCCUCCCUCUGGGUAUUCAAAGGCACAUAUAUAUUUACUGCAGUGACAGAGUAAGUUUUUCUUCUUUGUACAUUGCAGAGCUAUAACUUAGCAGUGUGGAGCAGAGUGAGUUCACGUCCAAUCUGGUUUGCAUCAGCAGGCUUGUUAAUUCAGAUUCUCAUUCUUUCUUUAGCUUUUGUCUGAAAUAGUUUACUUCAUUUUAACGUCUUUUUAAUCCAGCCUUGCAGGAUGAAAUUUUUGAUUGACCAUUGGAAAACAGCAACUGGAAAUACGUGCAACUAUACCCAUAUGAAGGCUUUUUAAAAUGAUUUUUAAUUUUUUUUUGAGAUUAGUCAUGUGAACAAGUGCUCGUCAACAUGAGUUAGUGUUGCAGAUUCAGAUCCGAGAAGCAACAUUUCUUUAUACCUCCAUGUUAGUAUCCCUGUGAGAGAUAUUUUUAGUUUCCCAAAUCACAAAAGAAAAUUACUGAUUGGCAAAAAAUGAAGUGUAAGAGAGUAGAUAGAGUAGAAAAUGAACAAAAAACAAGCAAAUGGAUAACGCAACAGUAAUUAAAAUAGGGCUUGAUGGCUCAUUGUUUAUUUCUGAGGCUCUACUGCCACCUGGCAUCUUUUAGGUGCAAUGCACCAUAACAAAACGUGGAUUUCAUCCUGAUUUGUAAGAGUAAUUUUCAUCCAGUAAGUGUGUAUGUGUGUGCGUGCCUUUGCCCUGACAUGAUACAAAAGAGAAAACCACAUCUGGGAUGCUUGCUCUAAUAAGGGCUGGAGCUUGUGAAAUCAGCUACUGUACUUACUGAGCUCUGGGAUAUAACUUGGCAUACAUCUUGGCUGAACAGAAGCACUUGAGCUGAUGCAACACCAUGUCAGUGAACAAGUUCGCGGCAUCGCUCAUCUCCCUGGAGAAUAUCUGUUCAAACUUCCUUGGACACUUUCUUUAAGGAAGCAGACAAGACUCCAGAAAAACCUGCAGCCAAGACUCCUGAGAAGACUCCAGCCAAGAACCCUUCAAAAAGUCCAGCAAAGUCACCUCAAAGAAAUCCUUCCAAAUCAAUGAUUGAUAUUUACAAUAUAAAUGCUCUUAAUGUAACUGUAUUAUUCAUCUAUAAUUGAUUGAGUACAAAAUUCUGGGCUAUUUUUGGUGAAAAUAGGGUAUCGGGCCUUGGUUCAGGAACCAAUCCCCCAUGUAUAACAUUGUUUCCUAUAGGAAAAACAGUUCCAAGUUCCAGCAUUUCAACUUAUGAUGCAGUUUUCAGGAACCAAUUUUGUCGUAAGUCCGAGGACUGCUUGUACUGACUAUCAUUGUGAUCACUGUAGCUUCCACAUUAAACGAAGUAUAGCACAAUACUUUCCUUUUGCUGAUGAAAGAAUAACACUUGCAUAGAACUUUCAUUUGAAGCAUUCAUGUGCAUUACAAUAGGGAAGGAAGUAGGAAGUAAUAUCAGUCUAACUGUAUAGAUGAGUGGGAGCAGAAAUAUAGAUAUAAUUAAUUGUCUGGUAGUGCUGUGUCCAGGGAUCUUCUGAAAAGCCUAUAUGAUUUUCAAAGCUUGUCUAUUCAUAUGUGUGGUGCAGUUUUAAUGGUGCUGGUACAGUGAGAGGGGUACAACUCCACUGCUCUGGGUGAAAUUUGGAUCAGCAUCACAUAUUUGGAUCAGCAUCACAAAUUUGGAUCAGCAUCACAUAUUUACUGUGGGAAGGGAAGUAAGUUGUACCAGCAUGAGGUAUCCUGAAAGGGGUAUCCCAAUCGGAGGAUGUACAAGUAUAACUGCUUUGGUACAGAAAUCACACACCUCCGUGAUACAGUUGUACAGAAGAAAUGUCCAAGCCAUUUUUAGUCCCUUGGCACAUGUUCAUUUAAUAGUGCAUUGGGAUCUGAUCCCCAAUUCCAACAAGUGUGCCUUCUACUAUCUUAUACAUGCAUGGUAACAGGUGUGAUGGUAAAAUCAAGGAUCAAAUCCCAAUCAUGCCAUUACUAUUUGCCAGAGCAGGAGGAGCCCAGGUUACCCCUGCAUUGGUGACUUGAAAGAGGAGUGCCCACAACUCCAGUCCAGUCAACAAUCAACUGAUGGUCAGCUGGCCCCCAGGAUUUUACCACUGGACUCAAACCAACUUCACUGUAUUUUGAGGCCAGGCUGACCAUCAGCUGAUAGUUGGCCCUGGCUGGAACAGCCCCAGGUCUGGCUGGAGACCAGAGUUGUCCAGAUUUAGACUGGACAUUAGGAAGAACUUCUUCACAGUUCGAGUGGCCAAGGUCUGGAACGGGCUCCCAAGGGAGGUGGUGCUCUCCCCUACCCUGGGGGUCUUCAAGAGGAGGUUAGAUAGGCAUCUAGCUGGGGUCAUCUAGACCCAGCACUCUUUCCUGCCUAUGCAGGGGGUCGAACUCGAUGAUCUAUUGAGGUCCCUUCCGAUCCUAACAUCUGUGAAUCUAUGAAUCUAGCCAGGCUGACAAACACACAGUUGUCAAAACCCUGUGCCCUGCAGGUCUGGCCAGGGUGUUUGGAUUGGGGAAUCAAACGCUUCUGGCAAGGUAGGGGUGGGGAGGAGCCAAAGAGCUUCCCCCACUGGGGACAUUAAACCCAGUUGGGAUCCUCUGAUCCCCCUUGCUGGGCAGCCUGGCCAGAGCUGCUGGGGAUGAGGUUUAAAAUUAAAAAAUGGCAGGGAAGCUCAGGGUAGCUGCCUCAGCAAUUUUCUUUAAAGCUCCCUGUGUACUGAGACCCACAGUACAAGGAACCGGUAGCUGGGGGUUAGGAGCUCCAGCCGCCCCAGAUACCCAUGCCCCAAAUUGCAACUGGGGAGUAAAGCUUCCACCUCUACAGCUGCUACUUCCAUGCGUGUUCCAGGAACUUAAAGAAGUGGGAGGCUGGAGGUCUGGGGUGCUUUGUAAAGGUCUAAAGCCCAGUGAACCUGAGACUGGGGAGACUCUCCCUAAUAUCAGCCUCAUGGCACCUGCCACCAGGGAUUGGAGUGGGGAGGUUUGCUUUGAAUGUGAACCACCUCCCAUACAACAGGGUAAAUAAAUCUGGGGGAGGGGGUCAGGUAGCUCUAUUUACCUCUCCCCCCUGCAACAUCUUCCCCCCUUCAGCCCCUUUCCCCCUUCUUACUUGUCAGAUUCUGCUUUCCCUGAGCACACGGAAGCAAGGGGCAAAUCUGGAAACACUGACCUUGAAAGAAACAUACCUGUAGUAAUUUGCAUAUAGUACUCAUAGACUUAAUUCAUCCAGUAUUGAUGCAUUUUAUCUUUUUCUGAAAAUUGCUGCAAAUUUUAGUACAGGUACUCCGUAAAUACACUUUCAAGCAACACUUUUGUACCUAUUUAUAUAUAGUAGAAACCUUUUUUAUUUUUUUGCAAAUAUAUACCUCUACAGACCUGUCUCAUGACUGAUAUGGUUUACUUGACAGUCCACAAACCAUAUCUACAGUUACACUAUCAUCAUCCCCAUUAUAAUAACUCUACCAUGCUCCUGCAUGCCCUCAUGCCCACUGCCAUUUCAAACAAUUACAAUCACAGGAAACCACCUCCAUUACUUCUACUCUCCUUUCCCCCUCCUACCCCUACUCCCCCACAAUCCCUCUGUUUUCCUCCCCAAACCUUAGUCCACAUCAUCUUUAUCAUCCUCUUCCUCCCCAUUGUGCUUGUGGCUUACACCUUUUUUGUUACUAUCAUUGUCUUCUUCCUUGUUGUUGUUGUUUUCUCUGGGCGUUUUGUUUCUGAACAUUCUGUGGCAGUCUUAUCUUUUCCAUGCAUCCUCUGCUUGCUUCUCCUUGUUGUCUUCAUUUGUCUUCCCGUAGUAUACCUGCAACUCACUCAUUCCCAUUCUGAUGCAGUCCUUGAUUGGGAAGUUUGUAUGUCUGUACAUGAGCAAGUUCCUGGUCUUCCAUAGGUACGGACUUACUGUAUUUGAGGUGGCUGCCCACUGAUUUUGCAGUUUGAGUACAGGGCCUGGUGCCACUUUCACAGUCAGAGUGCAGCAGGUCCUUCCAUGCCUCUGAUUGGCUGAGGAGCCCUGGAAGUCUUGUCCCUCCCCACAGAUUGCCAGAUGGCCCCAAACCAGGGCUUGCUUAUAAUGUAUUAAUGAAUGGCUUCCAGGGACUUAAUCCCCUCAUUAAGCCUGUGGAAGCCAUUAAUUGAUGUGUUACUAAGCAGUCUAAACUGCAGUUUAGAGGAUUAAGGGGAUUAAGCCCGUGGAAGCUGUUAAUUGAUGGAUUAUUAAGCAGUCUAAAAUGUGGUUAAUGGCUUCCAUGGGCUUGAUCAAGACCGUGAAAACCAUUAAGCACAGCUUAGAUUGCCUAAAAAUAAUGCAUUAAUUAAUGACUUUCAUGGCCUUACUCCCUUGAUUAAGCCCAUGGAAGCUAUUAAUUGAUGCAUUGUUAUUAAGCAGUCUAAGCACCUAAUUAAGCUCUAAAAUGAAAUAUUUUAUUAAAAUAAAGCAAUGGAUACCAUGAAUUAUAACAAAUACCAACUAUAUAUACUUUAUUAACUGAUACCAGCUACAUAUACUUGAUUAAUACCAACUAUAUACACUAGAUUAAAUAAUACCAUCUAAGCACUUAUUUAAAGUCUAAACUGAAAUAGCUUAUGAAAAUAAAGCUAUAUUAUGUACACCAUGAAUUGUAACUAAUACUAACAAUAUACACUUUAAUAAAGGAUAUUAUAAAA